UACGGGAGGCAGCAGUGGGGAAUCUGCGCAAUGGGCGAAAGCCUGACGCAGCGACGCCGCGUGGGUGACGAAGGCCUUCGGGUUGUAAAGCCCUGUGGGGUAGAACGAACUGGCAUCGGGCUAAUAUCCCGGUGUCUUGACGGUACUGCCUUAGCAAGCAUCGGCUAACUCUGUGCCAGCAGCCGCGGUAAGACAGAGGAUGCGAACGUUGCUCGGAUUUACUGGGCGUAAAGCGCGUUUAGGCGGUCUCGUUAGUCGGGUGUGAAAGCCCCGGGCUCAACCCGGGAAGUGCACCCGAUACUGCGAGACUGGGGUACUGAAGAGGAGAGCGGAAUUCCCGGUGUAGAGGUGAAAUUCGUAGAUAUCGGGAGGAACACCAGUGGCGAAGGCGGCUCUCUGGGCAGAUACCCGACGCUGAGACGCGAAAAGCGUGGGGAGCAAACAGGAUUAGAUACCCUGGUAGUCCACGCUGUAAACGAUGACGACUGGGUGUUGCAGGUAUUGACCCCUGCGGUGCCGAAGCC
rnacentral:rRNA from 1 species